GAUGAACGCUGGCGGCGUGCUUAACACAUGCAAGUCGAACGAGAACGGAUUAUAGCUUGCUAUAAUUGUCAGCUAAGUGGCGCACGGGUGAGUAAUGUAUAGGUAAUAUGCCUCUUACUAAGGGAUAACAAAUGGAAACGUUUGCUAAUACCUUAUACUCCUUAUUAACAGAAGUUAAUAAGGGAAAGAUUUAUUGGUAAGAGAUUAGCCUGUAUUGUAUCAGUUAGUUGGUGGGGUAAUGGCUUACCAAGACUAUGACACAUAACUGGUUUGAGAGGAUGAUCAGUCACACUGGAACUGAGACACGGUCCAGACUCCUGCGGGAGGCAGCAGUGGGGAAUAUUGCACAAUGGACGAAAGUCUGAUGCAGCAUCGCCGCGUGGAGGAUGACACAUUUCGGUGCGUAAACUCCUUUUAUAUGAGAAGAUAAUGACGGUAUUAUAUGAAUAAGCACCGGCUAACUCCGUGCCAGCCGCCGCAGUAA
rnacentral:rRNA from 1 species